rnacentral:tRNA from 1 species
UCCCUGCUGGCUCAGCUGGUAAAGAAUCUGCCUGGAAUGCAGGAGACCCAGGUUUGAUUCCUGGGUUGGAAA